rnacentral:rRNA from 1 species
UACGGAGGGUGCGAGCGUUGCUCGGAAUUAUUGGGCGUAAAGCGUACGCAGGCGGUUUGUUGCGUCGGCUGUGAAAUCCCGAGGCUCAACCUCGGGUCUGCAGUCGAUACGAGCAAACUAGAGUGUUGCAGGGGAGACUGGAAUUCCUGGUGUAGCGGUGAAAUGCGCAGAUAUCAGGAGGAACACCGGUGGCGAAGGCGGGUCUCUGGGCAACAACUGACGCUGAGGAGCGAAAGCGUGGGGAGCGAACAGG